rnacentral:rRNA from 1 species
UACGGAGGGUGCAAGCGUUAUCCGGAUUCACUGGGUUUAAAGGGUGCGUAGGUGGGUCUGUAAGUCAGUGGUGAAAUCCCCGAGCUUAACUUGGGAACUGCCGUUGAUACUAUAGAUCUUGAAUAUCGUGGAGGUAAGCGGAAUAUGUCAUGUAGCGGUGAAAUGCUUAGAUAUGACAUAGAACACCAAUUGCGAAGGCAGUCUACUACACGAUCAUUGACACUGAGGCACGAAAGCGUGGGGAGCAAACAGG